rnacentral:lncRNA from 1 species
GAAGUCGAUUCAGGUGGAAAAUCUGGUUCAGAAAUCUAGUGAGAUAUAUAAUCAGUAUCAGCAGCACAAUUGGGUAAAACAAAUGUGGUCACAUCAGCUGGCCGUGUGUGAUGAAAAGGAAAAAUAUUUUCCAUAAAGACAACAUCACGUGAAUGGAUAAGAGUCUUAGUUGUUAAACAAUAAAGUUUAUAAGCCUUUUGAUUUGGAGCAUAUCCUAACAAAAUGCAAGGAAAGGCUCUUGGGUCAAAUUUUUGUUUAUGUGGUGGAGUACUAGUAGCAUAACAAAGGCACCCAAUUGUGCGAAAAUAAGUGUAAUUUACCUGUUUCCCAUACAGCCGUUCAUAUGGAGUUUUCCAACCCAAAUUUUCUGAUGGUAAACGGUUAGUAAUGUGCGUAGCAACCAAUAAUAAUUCAGACCAAAAAUUGGAAGGGAGUUUAGAUUGGAAAAGCAAGGGACGAGCUAUAUUCAAAAGAGUACGAUGCUUCCAUUCAACAACUCCGUUUUGCUGAGGAGUAUAAACACAAGUACGUUGAUGCAAGGUGCCAUGUUCCUGUAAAAAAGAACUACAUGCAGAAUUGACAAAUUCUGUUCCGUUAUCUGUACGAAGAACCUUAAUCCGUUUACCAAAGUGUGUAAGUACAUAAUUAAAAAAGGAUUUCAAAGCAAGCAACACUUGAUCUUUAGUUUUUAACAUAUAAGUCCAACAAAACCGGCUAUAGUCAUCGACAAUAGUUAACAUAUAAACGGCAUUUGUAAUGGACUUCAACUUAUACAGUCCCCACAAAUCAACAUGAAUCAAAUCAAACACGUGCUCAGAAGUAAUGGUGCUAGUAGGAAAAGACAAUCUUGUUUGUUUUGCAACAAGGCAAACUGGACACAUUAAUUCAGUGUAAUCACAUUUGGCAACUCCAUCCACAUGUCUCAACCGUUUAAAAGAAACGUGUCCCAGCCUAGCAUGCCAAAGCAUGGCCAAGUGUUUAUUAUGUUCAAAACAACGAGAAACAGAAUUACAACUGUUUUGCUUGUUGAAAGAUUCUUUUGUCAAAUAAUAAAGGUCUCCAACCACACUCCCCUUUGCCAAAACGUCACUAGUCUGUAAAUCCUGGAAUAAACAAUAUUCAGGAAAUGAGUGCACGGAUAAUCCACACGUCCUGGUGAGCAAACUGACGGAUAGUAAAUUACAGCUGAAUGAAGGAACAUACAGGACAUUGUAUAGCACAAUUCUAGUAUUCAAUUUGAUAUUACCAAUGUGAGUGACCAAUCUGGUGGAAUUGUCAGGCAAUCUGAUUAUUGUGGGUGGGUUUAGUUUAAUGACAUGAUCAUAAAAAUGAAGAUAAGGUGUUAUAUGAUUCGUUGCGCCAGUAUCUAUUAUUCAAUUAUCCUUGCAAUUAAAAUUAAUGCUAGUAAAAACAGAAUUGAGUAAAGUACCUGCGAAAUUCACGUUUCUGACAUCACCCUCAUCGUUUUCAUUGGUACUGCUGUUGGCCAUGAGGAACUUCUGAAAUUCUUGUUGCAAGUAAUCUGCCAUCCCUGCACUCAAAGAAUCAACACCUUUCUGCUGUGGUGUUACUGACGUCAAUGGUGAUUCCUUUGUUGCAACGCGAAGGACAUUAUUAGCUCUAUG